rnacentral:rRNA from 1 species
AGCACGGGAGCUUGCUCCUGGUGGCGAGUGGCGAACGGGUGAGUAAUAUAUCGGAACGUACCUAGUAAUGGGGGAUAACUAUCCGAAAGGAUAGCUAAUACCGCAUACGCCCUGAGGGGGAAAGCGGGGGAUCUUCGGACCUCGCGUUAUUAGAGCGGCCGAUAUCUGAUUAGCUAGUUGGUGGGGUAAAGGCCCACCAAGGCGACGAUCAGUAGCUGGUCUGAGAGGACGACCAGCCACACUGGAACUGAGACACGGUCCAGACUCCUACGGGAGGCAGCAGUGGGGAAUUUUGGACAAUGGGCGCAAGCCUGAUCCAGCCAUUCCGCGCGAGUGAAGAAGGCCUUCGGGUUGUAAAGCUCUUUCGCAAGGGAAGAAACGUUACGAGCGAAUAACUCGUGAUAAUGACGGUACCUUGAUAAGAAGCACCGGCUAACUACGUGCCAGCAGCCGCGGUAAUACGUAGGGUGCGAGCGUUAAUCGGAAUUACUGGGCGUAAAGCGUGCGCAGGCGGUUUUGUAAGUCAGAUGUGAAAUCCCCGGGCUCAACCUGGGAACUGCGUUUGAAACUACAAGGCUAGAGUGUAGCAGAGGGGGGUAGAAUUCCACGUGUAGCAGUGAAAUGCGUAGAGAUGUGGAGGAAUACCAAUGGCGAAAGCAGCCCCCUGGGUUAACACUGACGCUCAUGCACGAAAGCGUGGGGAGCAAACAGGA